CUCAUGGUUUCACGGUAUUGCAAUGAGAACAAUUUAAAACCCUUAGCGAGAAUCAAGUGGAGGACAAGUCUGGUGCCAGCACCCGCGGUAAUUCCAGCUCCACUAGCGUAUAUUAAAGUUGUUGCAGUUAAAAAGCUCGUAGUUGAACCUCUGUCUGGGGCUAGUUUUGGCUUUGGUCAGGCUAGUUCUAGGCAUCCGCCUACAAGACUUAGAGGGCAUUCAGUUGUUCACUAGGAGGAGUAGGCAUUUUACUUUGAAAAAAUUAGAGUGUUUAAGGCAGGCAAUCGCCCGCAUAUAUUAGCAUGGAAUAAUAGAAUAGGACACUUUUCCAUUUCGUUGGUUAUUGGAAUCGUGUAAUGAUUAAUAGGGACAGUUGUGGGCAUUUGUAUUUAAUUGUCAGAGGUGAAAUUCUUGGAUUUAUUAAAGACAAACUAACGCGAAAGCAUUUGCCAAGGAUGUUUUCAUUAAUCAAGAACGAAAGUUAGGGGAUCAAAGACGAUCAGAUACCGUCCUAGUCUUAACUAUAAACUAUUCCGACUCAAUGUUUGACUGGCUUAUAUAACCAGUUGAGCGUUGUAUGAGAAAUCAAAGUCUUUAGGUUCUGGGGGGAGUAUGGUUGCGAAGCUGAAACUUAAAGGAAUUGACGGAAGAGCACAACCAGGAGUGGAUUCUGCGGCUUAAUUUGACUCAACACGGGGAAACUUACCAGGUUAAAACAAUAGUGGGAUUGACAGUUUGAGAGCGCUUUCUUGAUUGGUUGGGUGGUGGUGCAUGGCCGUUCUUAGUUGGUGGAGUGAUUUGUCUGCUUAAUUGCGUUAACGAACGAGACCUUAACCUGCUUACUAGACUGGCGAUCAUCAAUCGUUAGCUCUUCUUAGAGGGACUUUGGUUGUUUUAACUCCAAGGAAGUUUGAGGCAAUAACAGGUCUGUGAUGCCCUUAGAUAUCCUGGGCCGCACGCGUCAUACAAUGACUAGUUCAGAAAGUUUUCUCCUGACCCGAAAGGGGAUGGGUAAUCUUGAUAAUACUAGUCGUGUUAGGGAUCGAUCUUUGCAAUUAUAGAUCUUGAACGAGGAAUUCCUAGUAAGUGCGGUUCAUCAGACCGUACUGAUUACGUCCCUGCUCUUUGUACACACCGCCCGUCGCUUCUACCGAGUGGGUGGUCCGGUGAGAUAAUUGAACUUCGCAGGUAACUGAGAGGAAAGAUUAUCAAACCUAUCCACCU
rnacentral:rRNA from 1 species